CGGGCCGGCCGGGCGGCCGCCGGCCCCCUUCGGGGGGCGGGAGGAAAGUCCGGGCUCCACAAGGCGCGGCGCUGGUUAACGGCCAGCGGGGGCGACCCCGGGCAAGCGCAACAGAGAGCAGACCGCCGGAGAUUCUUCUCCGGCAAGGGUGAAACGGUGAGGUAAGAGCUCACCGGCCGUCCGGGCGACCGGGCGGGCCAGGCAUGCCCCGCCGGGAGCAAGACCUAAUAAGGGAACUAUAAAGCCGCCUGCUUUGUUCCCGGGUUGGUCGCUUGAGCGGCGGAGAGAUCCGCCGCCUAGAGGAAUGGCCGCCGGGACCUAAAACGUCUCACAGAACCCGGCUUACAGGCCGGCCCGGUUU
rnacentral:RNase_P_RNA from 1 species